rnacentral:rRNA from 1 species
AUACGUAGGGAGCAAGCGUUGUCCGGAUUUACUGGGUGUAAAGGGUGCGUAGGCGGCUCUGCAAGUCAGGUGUGAAAACUAUGGGCUUAACUCAUAGACUGCAUUUGAAACUGUGGAGCUUGAGUGAAGUAGAGGCAGGCGGAAUUCCCGGUGUAGCGGUGAAAUGCGUAGAGAUCGGGAGGAACACCAGUGGCGAAGGCGGCCUGCUGGGCUUUAACUGACGCUGAGGCACGAAAGCAUGGGUAGC